AGCAGCCGCGGUAAUUCCAGCUCCAAUAGCGUAUAUUAAAGUUGCUGCAGUUAAAAAGCUCGUAGUUGGAUUUCUGGUCUGGUGCGCCUGGCCCGCCGCAUCAGCGUGUGAGUGCCGGGUCGCGCCUGCCAUCCUUCUAGAAAACAUAUCUACCCUUCACUGGGCCUGAUAUGCGAUCUAGAUCUUUUACUUUGAAAAAAU
rnacentral:rRNA from 1 species